GAUCUUGUGAAACUAUAAAUUUUACGGAUAUAGACAAAACGUUGAUAGAUAUAAUAGGAGAACAAAUCGAUUGUUUGAAUAAUAUUUAUUACAGCGACUAUGUCCAAAACAAAGUAAAUGAAGAUAAUGCAGCAGAGGUCCGAGUCACCGGCCAGUGAACAAAUUCCUUGUGAAGGUAUUUACAGGAAGUACUGAUAAUACUUCAGAAGUGGAGAUUGGCAAUAAUAUUAACUGGGCUGCAUAUACCCUUACCGAUCUGUGUCGGAAAAAUUAACUGUGAAAACCAAGAGGAAUAACUUAC